CUUUCUUUCUCUCUCUCGGAGGACCUGAGCCCUAGGACCAUGCCCCAGGACUACCUGACAUGAUAAUAAUAAUAAUAAUAAUAUAUGCCAUUUAGCAGACGCUUUUAUCCAAAGCGACUUACAGUCAUGUGUGCAUACAUGAUGGCUCCUCGCUGUCCCCAGUCCACCUGGCCAUGCUGCUGCUCCAGUUUCAACUGACCUGAGCCCUAGGACCAUGCCCCAGGACUACCUGACAUGAUGACUCCUUGCUGUCCCCAGUACACCUGGCCAUGCUGCUGCUCCAGUUUCAACUGACCUGAGCCCUAGGACCAUGCCCCAGGACUACCUGACAUGAUGGCUCCUUGCUGUCCCCAGUCCACCUGGCCGUGCUGCUGCUCCAGUUUCAACUGUUCUGCCUUACUAUUAUUUGACCAUGCUGGUCAUUUAUGAACAUUUGAACAUCUUGGCCAUGUUCUGUUAUAAUCUCCACCCGGCACAGCCAGAAGAGGACUGGCCACCCCACAUAGCCUGGUUCCUCUCUAGGUUUCUUCCUAGGUUUUGGCCUUUCUAGGGAGUUUUUCCUAGCCACCGUGCUUCUACACCUGCAUUGCUUGCUGUUUGGGGUUUUAGGCUGGGUUUCUGUACAGCACUUUGAGAUAUCAGCUGAUGUACCAAGGGCUAUAUAAAUAAAAUUUGAUUGAUUGAUAGGCCAAAAGCUAAGUCUUGUCAGAAUUCUAGAUAAGGAACAAAACACACCCACACAGUUACGCCCAAAGAUUUGGAAACCAAAACACUGUGAUACAUCUAGUCUCUCUCUCCUCUAGGUGUAAAACACUGAUACAUCUAGUCUCUCUCUCCUCUAGGUGUAAAACACUGAUACAUCUGGUCUCUCUCCUCUAGGUGUAAAACACUGAUACAUCUGGUCUCUCUCCUCUAGGUGUAAAACACUGAUACAUCUAGUCUCUCUCUCCUCUAGGUGUAAAACACUGAUACAUCUGGUCUCUCUCCUCUAGGUGUAAAACACUGAUACAUCUGGUCUCUCUCCUCUAGGUGUAAAACACUGAUACAUCUGGUCUCUCUCUCCUCUAGGUGUAAAACACUGAUACAUCUAGUCUCUCUCUCCUCUAGGUGUAAAACACUGAUACAUCUGGUCUCUCUCUCCUCUAGGUGUAAAACACUGAUACAUCUGGUCUCUCUCCUCUAGGUGUAAAACACUGAUACAUCUAGUCUCUCUCCUCUAGGUGUAAAACACUGAUACAUCUAGUCUCUCUCUCCUCUAGGUGUAAAACACUGAUACAUCUGGUCUCUCUCUCCUCUAGGUGUAAAACACUGAUACAUCUAGUCUCUCUCUCCUCUAGGUGUAAAACACUGAUACAUCUGGUCUCUCUCCUCUAGGUGUAAAACACUGAUACAUCUGGUCUCUCUCCUCUAGGUGUAAAACACUGAUACAUCUGGUCUCUCUCUCCUCUAGGUGUAAAACACUGAUACAUCUAGUCUCUCUCCUCUAGGUGUAAAACACUGAUACAUCUGGUCUCUCUCUCCUCUAGGUGUAAAACACUGAUACAUCUAGUCUCUCUCCUCUAGGUGUAAAACACUGAUACAUCUGGUCUCUCUCUCCUCUAGGUGUAAAACACUGAUACAUCUAGUCUCUCUCUCCUCUAGGUGUAAAA